rnacentral:sRNA from 1 species
AUGCUCUAUAGGUGCAUGUGUGUAACUUAAGCCGCAGGGAAGUUUCAGACUGGAUGUGUGCCAGCUCAGUGCCAUCCCCCAGCCACACACAGAAAUGGUGACAUCUCCAUCAUAGAUGGGUUGCAUGAGACUCAGAUGAUAGUGGGGUCCUUCGCAGAAAAGAAUGUUACAGAGGAGGGUUCUGACAAGUGCUUGGAAAUACUUGGGUCAAUGUUACCAGACUCCUUCUCUCUCAGCUUACAGCCUGGAUGCCUGUCACCAAAUCCCUUUGAGCAGUGACCUGAGCCACCUGGUGGCAGAGGUACGAGCUCUGAGAGGGCAGCUGGAGCAGAGCAUUCAGGGGAACAAUUGUCUGCGACUGCAGCUGCAACAGCAGCUGGAGAGCGGUGCUGGCAAAGCCAGCCUCAGCCCCUCCUCCAUUAACCAGAACUUCCCAGCCAGCGCUGACCCUGGAAACAAGCAGCUGCUCCUCCAAGAUUCAGCUGUGUCCCCUCCAGUCCGGGAUGUUGGUAUGAAUUCCCCAGCUCUGGUCUUCCCCAGCUCUGCUUCCUCUACUCCUGGCUCA